UUUCUUUUUUCACACAUGCACGCGCACACUUUUUUUUCCCCUCUAAUUAUUCCUUUUUCUUUCUAAUCUCACUUUAAAAAAAUUAUGCCAUAUUUGCACAUGUCUAAAUAUAGGCAUUAAUUUUGAACAAAUCCUAACAUAGAGUGAUCUCUGUUGCUGAGAGAAUAUAUCAUAAUUUUAUAAAUCAUGUUAAGCUAGCUAUGUUCUGUUCAUAGGAGUGCCUGAAAAUAAUUUAAAUCAUGUUUUUAGUAUUGUUGUGAUGGUUGAUGCAAGUCUAUACAAAGUUGCAAAAUAAAUUACUUAUAAUAUAUUUCACAAGGGACUGGGAACAACGGAGGGCUUUGUUCAGUUCUGUAUUGUAGUAAUUCUGCGUGUUAAAUUACUGAUAUGUCUGUUUAUCAUACUCUCUAUUCCAAGCUUUUUUCUUUUGAUUCCUUCAACAUGGUGCACUAACAUGCGCUGCAACACUGAUCCUAGCAAAUGGCUUCAUCUUGCAUAUGAAAAAUUAAGAUCAGUAGAUACUAAGAAAAGGAAAGGAUGGCUACUUAUUUACUGUUGAGAUCAGUAGAUAUUAAGAAAAGCACAGGAUUGUGUAACUUGAUUGUCUUUUCACAGAAUUGAUAUGUGGUUUUUAUAAAGCCAGGUUAUUUUUCCAUUUUUCCCAUAACUGUGUAUCUUAGUAAUCCCAUCCUUUCAUUGUUUGCCAGUGACAGCUUUUUUCAUUUCUUUUUAAAUGUAUCUACAAUUUUGAGGGUUUUAAGUUUGUGCUGUAUUAGAAUUGUGCUUUCAUUUAGCUCUCUUUGUGUUUGUGCGUGCGCGCCCCAUUAGGGGUGCACAAUGGGUUGGUUCAGUUCUGAUCCAAACCGAACCUAACUAGCCAAAAUGUAAAAUUAUGCAAACCAAACCGGUCCAAACUGUUAAGUUUUAGAAAGAAAGAAUAAGGGAGGGAGAAAGAACACAAAGGCUACAUCUUUGAUUCACAUCACACACUCAUUACAUAAUACAAUAGUCUAUUAUAAUGGAGGAUACAAGACAUACUCCUUUUAAGGAAGACCACCAUUCCCUGAAUUAAGGACAAAUAUCAUCCCAUAAAUUAAGGAGGAAUCUUCUCCUUAAAUUAAGGAAA
rnacentral:misc_RNA from 1 species